UCUAGAACUCGAGAUAUGGGCUGAACACUGAACAAUGUCUGGGCUGCAGGACAGAUUCCGACUUCUCCUUUGUUGCUAAGAUUUGGACUUCCAAACAGCAGAAUUGAGUCUUGGACUCCUCAUGAAUGUUUUAGGCCUAUGUAUUAGCUUUCUAGC
rfam:Populus trichocarpa scaffold_34_contig_2, whole genome shotgun sequence.